UGACCUUAUCUAUGACACAACCUCUCUCAACUUCCAGUUUCCUCCUUUCUUCAAAUGAGUAUAUUGGGCUAGAUAUCUCUGAAUUUUAAAUUCUCUAUGGAGCUGUAACUACAGUGGGGUGAACAAGGUUAUAGCUUAGGGUUGUAAAACACUGAGAGUAAACUGCAUCCAACUGGGAGAGGCCAUGGACUGUCAUGAAAGCUACUGGUGGCACAAUGAAGGUGAAAGCUGAGGUGGGACCACGAAGCCUUCCCAGAUUCCAAAUGAGCUCCUCCUCUGUUCUAGCCCAACCUGUUUCCUCUUAGCUACAACCUCUCCAGCAUCUGACUGAGCUGCCUUUCUUUUUGUGAGUUAUAACGAGAAAUGAAAAUUUAUUUUGCAUGAGUGAGGAAGAACGGGACGCUACCUUCAGCAAAAGGCCAACAAGCCUCUUUCUGCCUUAGGGGCUGAGAAAAUUGGUGAGAUUAAUCUCCACAAUGCCUCAGCUCCAAGUUUCCCACAUGGCUGACCACUGAAAAUGCCUCAAGCCACAGAAGAAGGAAAGAGAAGACAAAGCCACCAGUUGUCUUGGUAACUGAAAGUUAUGGAAGGAAGAAGAAAGACAAAAUUUGAGAGCUCUGAAGACCUGAGAAGCAGCCUAGUAUGGCUGAAGAACAAUGAAGAAACCUAGGGCAAUGCUGGCACACAGAGGGUCAGUCUCUGGCCAAACAGUGGCUGAACACAACACAGCUGAUGGCAGAGCUGGCAAAAGAUUCACCACGUCACACAAGAGUGUGAUUCUACACAAGAUCCAUGAGAUUACUGGCCACAACUGUGUAUGACUCAGACUUUGUUCCAAGCUCCGAGACAUCAGGAGCCCCCUCCCCUAGUGAGAUCCAGAUUCUUUCCGGACCAGAAAUAAUAGUGACCUGAAAUCAACACAAUCUAGACAAAAGGCAUUUUUAUGAAGCAGUUGCAAAGAUCCCACACAUUUCUCCAGGAGAAAAGGGUUAAAAGUAGCUAGGGCUGGUUGUUGUCAAAUGGUCAAAGGGAAAGACUGGCAGUUUGGAGGGCUUUGCGUCACAAGGUAUUGCCUAGAGGAGGCACUACAGAAUGGUCCAGUUUAUUAUCGUAUUCUGCAGAAGGUCCAGGACUCGCAGUAGGGAAGGCCUAGGUUCGGAUUCUGCCUCUGAUGCUGGUAGUGUCACUGCGAGCAAGGUGCUUUCACUUUUCUGAAACUCAACCUCCUCAUCAUUAAAUGGUGCCAAUUAAUAUCUGAAGUGCCUACCUCAUAGGGUUGUUGGGAGCCUUAGAUGAGAUAAUGUCAGUAAGUGCUUUGCAAGCUUGAAAAUGCCAUAUAAAUAUCUGGUAGUAUUAUUAUUAUUACCCCUUUUAACUUCAGCCAUAUUAGUUUUGGCUCACUGUUCUAACCUGUACAGACACAUUUGGAUCUUGACUCAUCUAUCCUUUUGAACUAUCCAUCCCAACUUUGUCAUCUGCAGACUAAGUGGGCCACCUGUUUUCAUCCAAGGAAUUACCAAAAAUAUUGACUAGAACAGAGCCCACGCCAGUCCCUGAGGUGCACCACUAGAGACUCCUCUCCAAGUUAACAUCUAUUCACCACUGAGUACAUAAGUCAUUAACUGUGGUCAUCUACUACUUCUUAAUCCACCUGACUGUAUUUUAAUCAUACAAUCCAUCUUGAUCUCAAGGAUGUAUGGAGAGACUUUGUCAAAUGCUUAGCUGAAAUCUAGGUGUUCCCCAACCUGCCAGUAGAAAAAACCCUGUCAAAAAUGAUUGUUCAUUCACUAAGCAAUAGGUGGUCAUGAACAAACUGCAGCAGAGGAGUGGAAGGGAACUCGAAACCAUGCCAAAAGAGCUGAAAAAACCAGCAAUGCUAGCCUGGAGAAGAGGAAACAAGAGAAACUUCACAGAGUUGGAUUCAAAGUACUGUAAGAGCUAUCAUGUGGAAGAAGCACGAGACUCGUUCUGCCUGGCCCCAGAAGAUGGAAUGGAUGGAACAGGACAAACAGGUGAACGUUGCAGGAGAUUUUAGCUUAAUGUAAGGGGGAAAAAAAAAGGUUUGAGAAUUAAAGUUACCUAAAGUGGAAUGCACUGCUUCAGCACAGUGAGCUCACUGGAAGUUUUCAAGUACAGACUGACUACCUUUUGUCAAGGACACUACAGAGAGGAUUCUUGCUCACACACUUACUGGUCUUUGAGUUUCCUUCUAACUCUAAGGUUCUGUGCAAUCUUUUUUCCUGCUACAUGUGAGGUUGGGGAGUAGAACCCAGGGCUGUUUAGAGUUGGAUGAAUAAAUUACAAAAGAUAAAACCGAUCAUUGGGAUGACAUGAAACUGAAAAGCUUCUGCACAAACAAAAUUAAUACAUCUGGGAUAAGAAUGAAUGUGGCCAAGGGCAAAAAAAAAAGUUAGUAUCAAAUUUCUUAAGAUAAUAUUUUGGUAUCUAAGGUAAUAUUAAAUAACUAACAGAUACACAUGGUGUGCCAAAAGUCUUAGUGUAGUUUCCUGAAACCGCAUUAAGAUUUUUGGAAGGUGCCACGUUAAAGACCAAAAGCCAUUUCCCAAUGCAUAUGUGGUCAAAGGAUGGGAACAAAUAGUUCUUAAAAGACUCACCAGCUCUUAAGAGUCACGUGAAAGAAGGCUGUGAAACAUUAAUAAUAAAAUAAAUGCAAAUCAAACAACCCUUGAUUUGACUUCAUAUCCAGUCAAUUGGCAAAGAUGACAAAAGACGGGAAUAGUCAAUGCUGGAGAGGUUGUGGGAAGAUAAGCACACUAGUGCAUUUAGUACAACCAUUGUGGAAAGUAUUUUGGAAUUAUACAAAUAAAGUGACUAA